UCCGAUGUGGUGUAUCGGUAACAUCAUUGUCUCUCACACAAUAGCGCCGGGUUCGACUCCCGGCAUCGGAA